rnacentral:rRNA from 1 species
CCUACGGGUGGCAGCAGUGAGGAAUAUUGGUCAAUGGACGAGAGUCUGAACCAGCCAAGUAGCGUGAAGGAUGACUGCCCUAUGGGUUGUAAACUUCUUUUAUAAAGGAAUACAACGAGGCACGUGUGCCUUUUUGCAUGUACUUUAUGAAUAAGGAUCGGCUAACUCCGUGCCAGCAGCCGCGGUAAUACGGAGGAUCCGAGCGUUAUCCGGAUUUAUUGGGUUUAAAGGGAGCGUAGAUGGGUUGUUAAGUCAGUUGUGAAAGUUUGCGGCUCAACCGUAAAAUUGCAAUGGAUACUGGCAGUCGUGAGUACAGUUGAGGUAGGCGGAAUUCGUGGUGUAGCGGUGAAAUGCUUAGAUAUCACGAAGAACCCCGAUUGCGAAGGCAGCUUACUAAACUGUGACUGACAUUGAUGCUCGAAAGUGUGGGUAUCAAACAGGAUUAGAUACCCGAGUAGUC